GCUCUGGAGCCAGGCUGGGAGAGCUGGGAGUGUUUGUCUAGAUAAGAGAAGGCUCCAGGGAGACCUUAGGGCAAACUGGAUCUGCAGAUGCCCGAAGAUCCAUUGAGGUUUCACUUACCUUCCAAAAGAGUGAGAUGUUCUGCUGCUGAGAGCCUGGGUCCUGCUGCUGCCGGUACCAGACAUCCGGGAUCCCGGUCGGCUCUGGGGUGGAAGGAAAAGAACUAUAGGAGCAGUGGGAAUACAUUGGAUACCUCAGAAGUGAAUUCACCAACAAGCACUUUCUGUAACCUGUAAUGAUUUGAUGCCAUAACAGAAACAAACUGCUUGAAAGUAGUAUUUUCCCAGUACUACUACUUUAAAUCUUGGCUGAUUUUCAUG